rnacentral:rRNA from 1 species
AACGAACGCUGGCGGCAUGCCUAACACAUGCAAGUCGAACGGGACCUUCGGGUCUAGUGGCGGACGGGUGAGUAACGCGUGGGAACGUGCCCUUUGGUUCGGAAUAGCCUCGGGAAACUGGGAGUAAUACCGGAUACGGUCGGAAGACGAAAGAUUUAUCGCCGAAGGAUCGGCCCGCGUUGGAUUAGGUAGUUGGUGGGGUAAAGGCCUACCAAGCCGACGAUCCAUAGCUGGUUUGAGAGGAUGAUCAGCCACACUGGGACUGAGACACGGCCCAGACUCCUACGGGAGGCAGCAGUGGGGAAUAUUGGACAAUGGGCGAAAGCCUGAUCCAGCCAUGCCGCGUGAGUGAUGAAGGCCUUAGGGUUGUAAAGCUCUUUCGCCAGGGAAGAUAAUGACGGUACCUGGAAAGAAGCCUCGGCUGACUCCGUGCCAGCAGCCGCGGUAAU